rnacentral:rRNA from 1 species
AGCAGGCGCGCAAAUUACCCAAUCCCGACACGGGGAGGUAGUGACAAUAAAUAACAAUACGGGGUUCUUUAGGAUCUCGUAAUUGGAAUGAGUACAAUUUAAAUCUCUUAACGAGGAACAAUUGGAGGGCAAGUCUGGUGCCAGCAGCCGCGGUAAUUCCAGCUCCAAUAGCGUAUAUUAAAGUUGUUGCAGUUAAAAAGCUCGUAGUUGAAUUUCGGGGUUAGNAGGUUGGUCAUGCCUCUGGUAUGUACUGGUCUCACUGAUUCCUCCUUCCUGAUGAACCGUAAUGCCAUUAAUUUGGUGUUGCGGGGAAUUUGGACUGUUACUUUGAAAAAAUUAGAGUGUUUAAAGCAAGCUAACGCUUGAAUACAUUAGCAUGGAAUAAUGAAAUAGGACGUUCGAUCCUAUUUUGUUGGUUUCUAGGAUUGACGUAAUGAUUAAUAGGGAUAGUUGGGGGCAUUAGUAUUCAAUUGUCAGAGGUGAAAUUCUUGGAUUUAUUGAAGACUAACUACUGCGAAAGCAUUUGCCAAGGAUGUUUUCAUUAAUCAAGAACGAAAGUUAGGGGAUCGAAGACGAUCAGAUACCGUCGUAGUCUUAACCAUAAACUAUGCCGACUAGGGAUCGGAUGAUGUUAAUUUUUUAAUGACUCAUUCGGCGCCUUACGGGAAACCAAAGUGUUUGGGUU